CUACAGGAUACCCUCGCUUUGUCUAACAAAUCAGGGCUGUUUAGGCACUCAUGAGAUCUAACAGAGGCAGCCAUGAUCGGAAAGAAAGGAGAUUAGUAUGUGAAUACAAAUUAAGUUGAACAGUCACAAGCUUAGAAAAACAACCAAAAAAACACAUAUGGUUUGCUAAACCUUGUAUGUUUUUUUUGUGACUGUUCAACUUACAGCAUUCUGUUUCCAUGACAUCUGACACCAAUAGCUGUUCUGAAAUGCCACUAAUAACACAUUCAAAAUACAGCUCUAUGCUACUGUUUUACAGUGGUGGUUCCAUUUUCCAAGUGGCUAAUAUUCAUUUUUUACCAUCUCUGGUGUGGGGGUGUCAUCACUGGACAAUGGAGAAUCAGUCAUGCAAGACCCAGUGAGCAUUCGUUUUGCAGCUUUUGCCGCUUUUCUCCUGAUCUCAAUUUGCAUUUCAGGCGACCUUCCACCAGUGGCCCGACUGCCUUACGCUGGCGGCUAGCUGCCGAAAAGAGGGCGUGCGCUUUAGUCUGCUGUAUCUGCUUGUGUUGCCAUUUUUUUCUAGCAGAGAUGCUAUUGUACCCCUUUUAUUCUUGUACCGAUUAUUUGAUUUAUUUUAAUAUUGUAAAAUCUUAGUGUACAGAAUUUUGGUCAACAUUGGUAGUUUAUAAAUAAAAUAGACUUUGACUAUUGCACUAUUGCUUGUGUAAAGGACCUUUGUGUAGACAUGUACAGUAAACACAUCUCGCCAUUGGUUACCAUAACAUGUUCCCAAACUAAUGGCCAUUUUCCAGUGCAUGGUACCGGCUCAUCUCGUCUAUAGCCUCAACUUUAAUGCUUCAUGGGGGACAGUUCUUUACUGUGUUUAAACACUGCCGUGUCCGUAAAUGGCGCUAUAGCGAAUUGCACAUGUGUAAGGCAAGACCAUAUGUCUAUGGGCAAGACAAUCCCCAUUUGGAUCCCACACUGUUGUACCGUGAAAACUAGAAGGAACAUUCAUUUUAGCGACUUGGUUCUCUCGUCAACUCUUGUUCAAAAUGUAUAAGGUAUAAGCUAUGUGCUCUGAAUUGGACAAUACAACAUGUGGAUUAUCACAUUGUUUUACUACAAUUUGAUGAACUCCCGAAACAAAUGAAGAUCAAGGAUUUUUUUGACAUCAUACCGAAAGUUAUUGAACGCCGAGUCACCUGCGUCUAUGUUCGGAUGUUUUGUGCUUCUUCGCAUAUCAACAGUUGAACAGGUGAUGACUUUCUGUAGUUUUGUUCCCCGAGGAGGAUGACUGUGUGCCAGCAGUUCCACGCCAGGAUGGAGCAAGCACAGUACUCAAAGGCACCAGAGAGGUACUCCAUGCCACCAUGUAGUGGAUGGCUACAUAGGGCAAGAAGGCAGAGCUCCGCACAUGAAAGUAAGAAUGAACAUUUUGGUGGACAAUGCGAUUUGAGUUCUGAUUGUAAAAUAACCAGAUAUUUAGGACUGAAUAAUUAACUGUUUUCAUGAAACUUUUCAUUUGUCUUUCCAACCGGGAUGCCACUGAUGAGGCUGUCCAGAACCAGGUCCCCAGGUACCAGAAAGGGGCAGAUGACCGUGCAGGUGGGAGAUGUCGCGGCGGUACAAGGGACCUGACGUGAAUAUGAAUCUCCAGCACAACCAAUAUUGCUGCUAAGCUGCAGUACUGUAUUUUUUAUUUUAUUUAACUGCUGCUAUGUGCAGUGUUAUAUAUAUAUAUGAUUGCAUUAUCCUCUUAAUAUAUUUAUAGCUCUGUGUGAAUGUUCUUAAUUCUGACUAUCGUUGUAGUGUUAUGCCACCAUUCAUAAACUUAUUGCACUGAUGUAUCUAUUAUAUUCAAUAACUAUUGAUUGCUGCUAGGUCAUACUUAUGUAUAUUAUUGCCAUUCUAGCCCUUGUUUAUUUUGUAUUGUAUUAUGUUUAUUUUGUACUUUCACAUUCAAAUACUGUAAUUUUACUAUAUCUGACACGUUUUCUUGCACUAAUUGGUUUUGUAUAUUUUUUAUUUCAAUUCAUUUGCACAUGUUUAUUUUGUAUGCUUG
ensembl:lncRNA